AUCACUUCUUGGCCAUUUGGCUAAGAUCAAGUGUAGAAUUUAGUGUUAAUGUGUAGUUAAUGUAAUUUUAUCAGGUUUUAAAUCCCAGAUUGAACCCACGACUUUCCCACUGAGUUGCAUCCCCCAGACCUAUUUUUUUUAUGUAAAGAUAGGGUCUUACAAAAU
rnacentral:snRNA from 1 species